rnacentral:tRNA from 1 species
GGCGCUAUAGUGUAGUGGUUAUCACUCAGGAUUCUGACCCCCCUUCUGUUCCUGGAACCCAGGUUCGAGCCCUGGUAGCGCCU